AACGGCCGUACCAUGCUGAAUAUACCGGUUCUCGUUAGAUCACCGAAGUCAAGCAUCAUUGGGCGCGGUCAGUACUUGGGUGGGUGACCACCUGGGAACACUGCGUGCUGUU